rnacentral:rRNA from 1 species
GAUGAACGCUAGCGGCAGGCCUAAUACAUGCAAGUCGAACGGUGUCUUCGGACAUAGUGGCGCACGGGUGCGUAACACGUAUGCAACCUACCUUACAUUGGGGGAUAGCCUUUCGAAAGGGAGAUUAAUACCGCAUAAGACAGUAGCUGGGCAUCCAGCAGCUGUUAAAGAUUUAUCGAUGUAAGCUGGGCAUGCGUCCAAUUAGCUAGUUGGUGAGGUAACGGCUCACCAAGGCAAUGAUUGGUAGGGGAACUGAGAGGUCAAUCCCCCACACUGGCGCUGGGAUACGGGCCAGACUCCUACGGGAGGCAGCAGUAGGGAAUAUUGGGCAAUGGACGCAAGUCUGACCCAGCCAGGCCGCGUGCGGGGUGGAGGCGUUAUGCGUUGUAAACUGCUUUUAUACAGGAAGAAACGACUCUUGCGAGAGGCAUUGACGGUACUGUAUGAAUAAGCACCGGCUAACUCCGUGCCAGCAGCCGCCGUAAUAC